ensembl:lncRNA
GCCAUACAGUAGUUGCAUACAGAACAGAGAUAGUCAUACACAGGUAAAUACUGUUUUUGUGUGUGUGUGUGUGUGUGAUGUUUGCUUAUAGUUCAGCUGAAAUGCUGACCUUACUCUUUGAGGAGAGCAGCCGGCGCAGCCUUCACGCUUCUGUGAACCUUCAGGUCCUGAAAAAGACAGUUUUAUAUAGUACAGGUGAUUCUCUGUGCUCCAUAUAUGGAGGCUUCACAAGCUGCAGACGGACGGUCAGUGUGAGUCCAGAGAGUUUGAGGUCCCUGGUCUGAGGUUUCUGACCAUCAAAUGGGCCCCGUGGGUUUCGCUGCAGAACCGGCUCCUCUCAAACCAUCUGUCAGCCUGUUCCUGAUAUUGACACCAGGGAAACCUGUCCAAUCAGUAAGAAAAAGGGCAGCCAUGUUGGAUCACAGCCAUUCUCAUGCUGGCCUUGUAGCAGCAUAUUGUACUACUGCAUAUUUUUUUGGUUAAUUUGUACAAAUAAUGGAUCAAUAUGUUUUUCCGUCUCUCAGCAAGACGUCUUAUUCAAGACUGAUGUUGAAGCAAAAUUUUGAUAAAUAUUUCCUUAAAGGUUCUUAAAAGUCUGUAUGGAGGACAUCUAGUUAUUCAUUCAGAGUUGUAUCUGCAGGAACAAAAUGAAAGCUGAUGCUACAGACAGAAAAGAUGGCUGGCAUAUGCUCACUUUCUUUGUAAAAAUCGGGAAAAUAUAUCAUAAAUACUUUCAAGUAUCAAAAUGAUGCCACACUUAAUAAUGGAUGUUUUUCUUUCUCAGAAAGUUCUUUGGAUACUGUUCUGACAGAAGGCCCCCGAAGGCCUGUAUAAAUCUGUAAAAAUGUAAUCGAUACAGCGGCAAGUUUAGCUUUUCUCACAGUUUGCCAAGUUUCUCUCACUCAAAAAACUGGGAAGGGCAUUUGUAGUUCCCAGCAUGCUUUGCAUUGGGAGUAAAUGUUGAUUAUUUUAAAAGUGCUUUAUAAUUGUUUUUGAGCAAGAUGAAAAUGAGGGACACUUGAUAUUGUUUAAUGUCUAACAUAUGCUCUUGGAAGUAGUUAGCUAGUUAGUAGACACCGAAUUAUGUUACUCNUAUGUAUAACCAACACUGAAUAAAUGAAGUAUAGAAACAAUUUUUACA